GAGUAACGCGUGAGGAACCUGCCUCAAAGAGGGGGACAACAGUUGGAAACGACUGCUAAUACCGCAUAAGCCCACGGUGCCGCAUGGUACAGAGGGAAAAGGAGCAAUCCGCUUUGAGAUGGCCUCGCGUCCGAUUAGCUAGUUGGUGAGGUAACGGCCCACCAAGGCGACGAUCGGUAGCCGGACUGAGAGGUUGAACGGCCACAUUGGGACUGAGACACGGCCCAGACUCCUACGGGAGGCAGCAGUGGGGAAUAUUGCACAAUGGGGGAAACCCUGAUGCAGCGACGCCGCGUGGAGGAAGAAGGUCUUCGGAUUGUAAACUCCUGUUGUUGGGGAAGAUAAUGACGGUACCCAACAAGGAAGUGACGGCUAACUACGUGCCAGCAGCCGCGGUAAAACGUAGGUCACAAGCGUUGUCCGGAAUUACUGGGUGUAAAGGGAGCGCAGGCGGGAAGACAAGUUGGAAGUGAAAUCUAUGGGCUCAACCCAUAAACUGCUUUCAAAACUGUUUUUCUUGAGUAGUGCAGAGGUAGGCGGAAUUCCCGGUGUAGCGGUGGAAUGCGUAGAUAUCGGGAGGAACACCAGUGGCGAAGGCGGCCUACUGGGCACCAACUGACGCUGAGGCUCGAAAGUGUGGGUAGCAAACAGGAUUAGAUACCCUGGUAGUCCACACCGUAAACGAUGAUUACUAGGUGUUGGAGGAUUGACCCCUUCAGUGCCGCAG
rnacentral:rRNA from 1 species